rnacentral:rRNA from 1 species
UACAGAGGGUGCAAGCGUUGCUCGGAAUCAUUGGGCGUAAAGGGUAGGUAGGUGGUCUCGUUUGUCUGGGGUGAAAGCCUUGAGCUUAACUCAAGAAGUGCCUUAGAAACGGCGAGACUGGAGUCUUGGAGAGGGUCGUGGAAUUCCCGGUGUAGCGGUGGAAUGCGCAGAUAUCAGGAGGAACACCGGUGGCGAAGGCGGGUCUCUGGGCAGUAACUGACGCUGAGGAGCGAAAGCGUGGGGAGCGAACAGG